rnacentral:rRNA from 1 species
UACGGGAGGCAGCAGGGGGGAAUAUUGCACAAUGGGCGCAAGCCUGAUGCAGCCAUGCCGCGUGUAUGAAAAAGGCCUUCGGGUUGUAAAGUACUUUCAGUCGUGAGGAAGGUGUUAAGGUUAAUAACCUUAGCAAUUGACGUUAGCGACAGAAGAAGCACCGGCUAACUCCGUGCCAGCAGCCGCGGUAAUACGGAGGGUGCGAGCGUUAAUCGGAAUUACUGGGCGUAAAGGGCACGCAGGCGGUUAAUUAAGUUGGAUGUGAAAUCCCCGGGCUUAACCUGGGAAUGGCAUUCAAGACUGGUUAGCUAGAGUCUUGUAGAGGGGGGUUAGAAUUCCAUGUGUAGCGGUGAAAUGCGUAGAGAUGUGGAGGAAUACCGGUGGCGAAGGCGGCCCCUGGACAAAGACUGACGCUCAUGUGCGAAAGCGUGGGGAGCGAAACAGGGAUU